rnacentral:rRNA from 1 species
GAUGAACGCUGGCGGCGUGCCUAAUACAUGCAAGUCGAGCGAAUGGAUUAAGAGCUUGCUCUUAUGAAGUUAGCGGCGGACGGGUGAGUAACACGUGGGUAACCUGCCCAUAAGACUGGGAUAACUCCGGGAAACCGGGGCUAAUACCGGAUUACAUUUUGAACCGCAUGGUUCGAAAUUGAAAGGCGGCUUCGGCUGUCACUUAUGGAUGGACCCGCGUCGCAUUAGCUAGUUGGUGAGGUAACGGCUCACCAAGGCAACGAUGCGUAGCCGACCUGGGAGGGUGAUCGGCCACACUGGGACUGGAACACGGCCCAGACUCCUACGGGGGGCAGCAGUAGGGAAUCUUCCGCAAUGGACGAAAGUCUGACGGAGCAACGCCGCGUGAGUGAUGAAGGCUUUCGGGUCGUAAAACUCUGUUGUUAGGGAAGAACAAGUGCUAGUUGAAUAAGCUGGCACCUUGACGGUACCUAACCAGAAAACCACGGCUAACUACGUGCCAGCCGCCGCAGUAA